UACGAAAGGGGCUAGCGUUGUUCGGAAUCACUGGGCGUAAAGCGCACGUAGGCGGAUCUUUAAGUCAGGGGUGAAAUCCCGAGGCUCAACCUCGGAACUGCCUUUGAUACUGGAGAUCUUGAGUCCGGAAGAGGUAAGUGGAACUGCGAGUGUAGAGGUGAAAUUCGUAGAUAUUCGCAAGAACACCAGUGGCGAAGGCGGCUUACUGGUCCGGAACUGACGCUGAGGUGCGAAAGCGUGGGGAGCAAACAGG
rnacentral:rRNA from 1 species